UACGUAGGGGGCAAGCGUUAUCCGGAUUUACUGGGUGUAAAGGGAGCGUAGACGGCGAUGCAAGCCAGAUGUGAAAGCCCGGGGCUCAACCCCGGGACUGCAUUUGGAACUGUGUGGCUGGAGUGUCGGAGAGGCAAGUGGAAUUCCUAGUGUAGCGGUGAAAUGCGUAGAUAUUAGGAGGAACCCCAGUGGCGAAGGCGGCUUGCUGGACGAUGACUGACGUUGAGGCUCGAAAGCGUGGGGAGCAAACAGG
rnacentral:rRNA from 1 species